UAAGCAGGCCGGGUAGCCGCGGGCAGCUCUUGGCUGCCUGAGGAAAGUCCGGGCUCCACAGGGCAGGGCGCUGGGUAACGCCCAGCAAGGGUGACCUUAGGGAAAGUGCCACAGAAACAUACCGCCACUGUCACGCUCCCCUUGCCUUACCGGAGGCAUGCCCAGCCUCUGGAACUAAGGCGGGGACCGGCGGACAGGGGUAAGGGUGAAAUGGUAGUGUAAGAGACUACCGGCAGUCGGGUGACCGGCUGGCCAGGCAAACCCCGCCCGGAGCAAGGCCAAAUAGAGGGGCGAUGACGUGGCCCGCCGAGCCCCUGGGUAAGGCCGCUUGAGGGAAAGGGUAACCUUUCUCCUAGAUAGAUGGCUACCCUCGACAGAACCCGGCUUACAGGCCUGCUUACCAU
rnacentral:RNase_P_RNA from 2 species